rnacentral:rRNA from 1 species
AUGAUUAGGAACCGGUACAAUCCAAUUUACAUCAAAAAACAUAUAACUACAAAGGUUGUCACUCGUGUUCUUGUCGUCAACCCUCCUGAUGGCAACUAUAUGGCAUGGCGGAUUCUGAUGGACAGCAACAUACCACAGUGCAGCGGUUUGUCUCUACUUGGUACCCUGCAGUUUGUCUCUACUUGUUAUCCUGCAGGAUACAGAAGAAAUUCAGAGAAAAUCUAG